UACGUAGGGAGCAAGCGUUGUCCGGAAUCAUUGGGCGUAAAGCGCGCGUAGGCGGCUCGAUCAGUCUGUUGUGAAAGUCAAAGGCUCAACCUUUGAAUGCCGAUGGAUACUGUCGAGCUAGAGUCCGGAAGAGGCGGGUGGAAUUCCUGGUGUAGCGGUGGAAUGCGCAGGUAUCAGGAGGAACACCAACGGCGAAGGCAGCCCGCUGGGACGGUACUGACGCUAAGGCGCGAAAGCGUGGGGAGCGAACAGG
rnacentral:rRNA from 1 species